UUUUUUUUUUUUUUUUUUUUUUUUUUUUGUGCGUGCGGAAGUUUUUGAGUGAGAGAGAGUCAAAAAAAAAGAG
rnacentral:ribozyme from 1 species